GGAGAUUUAUCGCACAUCGAAGACGUAGCUACCGUUCGCGUUGGGGCGGGGGAGUUCGCAACCGCGGUGAGAAUCGGUGAAAGCUCGAUGCGCUUAAUGUCAAGGUCACGAAGUAAUUUCAGCUUCCGUUUCUGCACGAAGACAUGGUCGUGCACGCCGCGAUCGUUGGACGGAAGAAUAUCUGAAGAGCGAGACGAACGUCACUUCGAUGCGUAGUACAAUCACCACUUUUUGCAAGCGAAACACCGGCAACUUUUCGAAAACUGUGUACUAGAACGGGUGAUGAGUUAUGACUACGCAGCAAACAGAAUCUCCGCACCGUAAAAUACACAUAUACGUAAUGUAUCAAUCAUACGUAUAAUACAUUGGAGGAGCUGAAAAGACGUUGACGAUAAACGAAAUGACGCUGCAGCUCGAAAUCCCGAUUGAGGGACAGAAGAGCAGAAAGAAAAAUAUGCGGACAGCACAGGACCCGUAAGGGCCAAAAUUGAAGAGGCUGGAAAAAAACGAGAAGUUGGCAUACAUGAGCAAAAGCGGUAAAAAGUGGAAAAGAAUUUGUGUACGUUAGAUUUUCUUUCAUUUGUUAUCGAAACGUCUGCCUUUUGGUCGUAUAAGUAUAACCUUAAUACAUUCGUAUGUGUACAUGAUUAAAAAGCACAUCACCGAUACCGUCAUGAAAUAAUUCGUUAUUAUUUAUACACCGUAAGAAUAUUUGCUAUGGACAAGAUGAUCGAUCAUCCCCAUCCCUCACCACCGCUUUCUCACUCCUUCUUUGCUUACCGUAAAAGGCUAUAACUUUACAAAUUCAUUUCCUGCAGAAAGAUAUUUCAAUUAACUCAGAAGAAGUCCCAUUGAAAUAAAUAGUAACGACGGAAUGAAUGAUAUUUGAAUAAAUAACGAGAGUGAAAAGACGAGAGAAUCCGUUCAAUCGCCGAUCACAAUCGUGAUGAGGAAAAGUAGAAAAAGAAAGAGACGCGAAUGAUACGCAUACAAAUUUAUACAUUCAACGGUAAAGACGGCAAAAAGUUUCUAAACUUCAGGACUGCGUAAAAAUGGCCGAAGAGGAGUAGGUUAGUAGUGGGUAUCGUUCCGCAGCUUAUGCUGCAGAAGGUUAAAAGUUUCGAAUGACGUUAUUACGGGGGAGUAAUUUUCUCGUCACUCCGGUUGACUCGGUAAAUUAAUUAUUAUUUGUUCAACAAACAAUCUUCACUAAAGUGUCAGAAAAUUCGUGAAGAGGGUCCUUAUAUUAACUUUUGACUUGCAGCACUCGCUUUUAACGUACAUCAGGUGAAUAGCAUAUAUUACACGGGCGGGUGUACACGAGUUCGCCGAAACCAUGAAAUCAGGGACAUCGUAUGCGCCCUCACGAUUUCAGGAUAUAUUUAUCUAGGAUAUGUUGAGUGCGCUCAAACAAUUCCGUACCGAAGUGAAUUCUUCAACCCUCGCCAGAAGAGUUCACGCUGCAGUCGUUUACGUUAUUUAACGAUCUCCUCGGUUUUCACAACCCAAAGAAAAUAGAACAAACGAAAUUUAUGAAACAGGGAAAAAGUGACAGAAAAAACCAAACCGAAGAAGAGUACAUGACAAAGACGCCGUGGGUAAAAGGAAACUCGAGUAGCUCGAAACCAUAUCCAAAAUUGUAUAUCUCUGUGAUAUCGUACCCCCUUGUAGAUACGAAUAA